rnacentral:rRNA from 1 species
UACGGGGGGGCGAGCGUUGUUCGGAAUCACUGGGCGUAAAGGGCGCGUAGGCGGCCCGCACAAGUCUGCGGUGAAAACCCCCGGCUUAACCGGGGGCCGGCCGUGGAAACUGUCGGGCUGGAGGCUGGGAGAGGGCAGCGGAAUUCCCGGUGUAGCGGUGAAAUGCGUAGAGAUCGGGAGGAACACCGGCGGCGAAGGCGGCUGCCUGGACCAGUCCCGACGCUGAGGCGCGAAAGCUAGGGGAGCAAACAGG